ACUUCGAGUUCGAACCCCUCGUUGAAGCGAGGACAGAUAUCAACAAUCGGGCAACAAAGAAGUGUCAAAGAAUGGACUGCGAAGAAAUGUAGGUGAGACGAUGUAAACAAAGAAAAGAUCGGGAAGAUCACCACAGCCGACCUCGCGAGUGGGAAAAUUACAAACUAAAUAAUGAAUUUAGUGCUUAAUUACUAUGUAAAUUUAAUCAAUCAUCAGGUGAGAUCAGUAACUACACCGGUAACCAUGGUGGAAUUCUUAAACUAAUCCUAAACGAUCCUCAACACCUAUUCUAGUUAGCUUCUACGAUAUAGGGCAAAAGUACUUCUACCAAACAUUUCCGUCGACAUGAAUUACCGAAAAAGACUAAAUGUAAGUUCUACAGAACUGCUCAAAACACGAACCUAAUAAAUAUUAAACUUAUUUUAGCUUUGAGCUGCAUAAACUAAAAUGCUGCUGCAAGGAACUUUUAAUACGGUCCGAACAAUCUCAACAUUCUCAAAGAUUUAAGGACAUCUCGGAACUUGCCUCGACGAAAAUGACGGUAUUUAAGGAUGCCCCUGUAGGGUAUUCUCUAUGUCAUACCUUUACCAAGAUGCCCUUCAGCAAACCAUCCAAAACUGGAAGCGAUAUGGAUUUAGCGAGGAAUUGUAUCCAGAGCGGUUAUCAGCCAGCUCUCCUCAUGCUGGAGAAAACCGAUUAUCUCUGCACUCUCCAUCACAAACUAUCUGCAGAGCGAGAAAAAAUGCUACACGAUAAAGAGACCGGCGAGCUAAUCAAACGGUGUAAACACACCGUAAAGAUUCCAGACCGAUCCAAUCAACAACAAGCCAUUGGAGGGACGGAGAACAAGAUGCAGUGGAGCCAAAACGAGGCGAGAAGUUUCUCGCUCGCAACGGCAAAGGCGAACACGCCGGCCGCGCCCUCUUUCGACCUUAGUUUCACUCCGAUCACUACAAGCGUUGCUGAUAUGGGAUUUCCAGUUCUACAAGAAUCAUCAGACGGUGUCAGACAAAUUAACGAAAUGCCAGCCAGUCAUAACGUUUCAAUGAAUAGUAGCUAUAAAAACUAUCCGAAACAAGGUACACAACAGGGUGUACCAAUGCAAAGACAGCCACAAGGUGUGCCACCGCAAGGACUGCUAAGGGAUUUUUCGACGACAGGAUGCACAGAGCGAGAUCAGUCACGGCAGUUGCCGCCAGAAGCACUGCCACAUGACACGUUGUCUCGAGCGCUGCCACAGGGUUUGCAGCCGCAGCAGUACCAGGCGCAACAGUGGCCGUCGCAAGGAUCGAUGCCGGGUUGGCCGCCACAAGAACUGACGCCGGGUUUGCCAACGCAAGGACUGGCGCAGAAUUGGCCUGCACAAGGACCGCUACAGGGUUUGCAGCCGCAGCAGUACCAGGCGCAACAGUGGCCGUCGCAAAGAUCGAUGUCGGGUUGGCCGCCGCAAGAACUGACGCCGGGUUUGCCAACGCAAGGACUGGCGCAGAGUUGGCCUGCACAAGGACUGGCACAGAGUUGGCCUGCACAAGGACUGGCGCAGGGUUUGCAGCCGCAGCAGUACCAGGCGCAACAGUGGCCGUCGCAAAGAUCGAUGCCGGGCUGGCCGCCGCAAGAACUGACGCCGGGUUUGCCAACGCAAGGACUGGCGCAGAGUUGGCCUGCACAAGGACUGGCGCAGGGUUUGCAGCCGCAGCAGUACAAGGCGCAACAGUGCCCGUCGCAAAGAUCGAUGCCGGGUUGGCCGCCGCAAGAACUGACGCCGGGUUUGCCAACGCAAGGACUGGCGCAGAGUUGGCCUGCACAAGGACUGCCACAGGGUUUGCAGCCGCAGCGGUACCAGACGCAACAGUGGCCGUCGCAAGGAUCGAUGCCGGGUUGGCCGCCACAAGGAUUGACGCUGGGUUUGCAAACGCAAGGAAUUAUGCAGGAUUGGCCGCCCCAGCAAGGCCAGCUGCGACGAUGGCCGCCAGAAGCACCGCCACAGUUCCCGUCGCAACAGUGGCCACCGCAAGGACUGACGCAGUGUUGGCUGCCACGGGCAGUCCAGCCGCAACAGCGCCCUCCACAUGGACUCAAUCAGUGUUGGCCACCACAGAGUAAGCUGCAGCAAUAUCAGCCGCUGGAUUGGCUGCUCGGAGCACCGCUACAAGCCUCGUCGUUGGAAGGACAGCCCCAGCAAGACCAGUCGCAACAGUGGUCGCAAGGGUUGGUCCAGGAUGACCUGCCACUGCAAGGUGAGCUUCGUUGGCCGCCACAAGGUGCAAUGCUAAAGGGGUCGACAAAAGAAAUUUCUGUCCCGUCCAAUCCAUUUCCUAACUGGGUAGGACCUACGCCACAACAACUACUAGCUCGACAGGUUAUGCCUACAGAUCUUCCCAAAUUUCGCGGAGACCCGGAAGACUGGCCACUCUUUUACAGCACAUACGUUAAUUCAACGGAUACGUGUGGCUUCUCCCACGCAGAAAAUCUAGCCCGACUACAAGAUGCGCUGCAGGACAAGGCACUAGAAUCAGUUAGAGGCCAGCUCAUUUUUCCGGCGUGUGUCCCUCAAGUGUUGUCCACUUUGUUUGUGCUGUUUGGUAGACCAGAGCUGAUCAUUCACACCUUGCAGAACAAAUUACAGGGCUUGCCAGCACUAUUGGAGGACGAUCUUGAGUCUCUAAUAACAUUUGGCUUGGCGGUUCAAGGUUUAUGUGACCACAUAGAAGCAACAGGUCAACUGGCGUACCUGUCCAACCCUUCUUUACUGCUAGACCUGGUCAGGAAACUCCCAGUGGAACAGCGUUUGAACUGGGUGUUCUACAAGCGGCAGUUCAUGCAGGUCAACUUAAUCACCUUUGCUGGCUACAUGUCAAUUCUAGUCGCUGCUGCAUCAGAGGUCACCAUUGCUACUAAAGAAAUUAGAAUAAGGUCGACUAAAAGAAAAAGCAUCAAGAAAACGAAAUUGAAGAAACCACGCUCGUCGAACGACUUGUUGACAUCUGUUCGAGAUGAAGGAAUGUCGAUAGAGGUCAGAGGCAAGCUUAACACUCAGGAGCAUCAACCAAUUGGAGCGAAGCAAGCACAGGAGGCGCAAGUUGGCGGCACAAUAGAUCAACAACCAGAGCCCAACACACAUCCAAAACAGAUCGGGGAAACCGCUCAAAUGAAUAGAAACUAUUCACUUCCAAGUAAACCCGGAACGGUCCCCGGAAACAACCCUGGGAAACUUGGGUACUACCAAGCAAGGGACUCACAAUGUGAAGGUCCAUCAACGAGGACAUGCUCCAGUCAAGAUAUUGGUAACGCAAGGGUGGUGCAGGAACCGGAAGUGCGUUACAGGUCGGGGGAUGUUAACACUGGCAGCGCUGGAGUCAGAACUUCGAGUUCGAACCCCUCGUUGAAGCGAGGACAGAUAUUAACAAUCGGGCAACAAAGAAGUGUCAAAGAAUGGACUGCGAAGAAAUGUAGGUGAGACGAUGUAAACAAAGAAAAGAUCGGGAAGAUCACCACAGCCGACCUCGCGAGUGGGAAAAUUACAAACUAAAUAAUGAAUUUAGUGCUUAAUUACUAUGUAAAUUUAAUCAAUCAUCAGUUAGCUUCUACGAUAUAGGGCAAAAGUACUUCUACCAAACAUUUCCGUCGACAUGAAUUACCGAAAAAGACUAAAUGUAAGUUCUACAGAACUGCUCAAAACAUGAACCUAAUAAAUAUUAAACUUAUUUUAGCUUUGAGCUGCAUAAACUAAAAUGCUGCUGCAAGGAACUCUUAAUACGGUCCGAACA